GAUCAUGGCUCAGGAUGAACGCUAGCUACAGGCUUAACACAUGCAAGUCGAGGGGCAGGCGGGGUCUAGCUUGCUAGUCCUGCCGGCGACCGGCGCACGGGUGAGUAACGCGUACCCAACCUUCCCCCUAGUAGGGCAUAGCCCGUAGAAAUGCGGAUUAAUUCCCUAUGUUGUGUUUUGAGGGCAUCUGACGGACACCAAAGGUUCACCGCUAGGGGAUGGGGAUGCGUCUGAUUAGGCAGCAGGCGGGGUAACGGCCCACCUGGCCGACGAUCAGUAGGGGUUCUGAGAGGAAGGUCCCCCACAUUGGAACUGAGACACGGUCCAAACUCCUACGGGAGGCAGCAGUGAGGAAUAUUGGUCAGUGGGCGAGAACCUGAACCAGACCCAAGUAGCGUGAGGGAUGACGGCCCUACGGGUUGUAACCUCUUUUGCGGGGAAUAAAGUGUCCCACGUGUGGGAUUUUGUAUGUACCCCGAGAAUAAGGACCGGCUAAUUCCGUGCCAGCCGCAGC
rnacentral:rRNA from 1 species